AAAGAAGGAUAAACCCUGGAGCUUGAAACUGCUCCUGGCAAUAGGAGAUGGUGGAAGAAAGGCAAUUGGUGGGUUGAAGUGCAUGUUUUCUUUCCGCAACUUCCUUGAAACAAAUGGUGGAUCUCACUUGUACUAACACAACCUUUUGUAUAAGCAAAAACCCCCCAAAAUAGGCACUGCAAUGGCAUCAGGGGACCCAAAAUUACCACCCCAAUCCCAACGGUUGCAAAUUUAUCCCAAUUUAAAUUCUGGGGUCUCCUCUUUCUGGAGAGAAAAGUAUGAAAGAGAAGCCAAGAGGUAUUGGGAUGUUUUCUAUAAGCGCCACAAGGACCGAUUUUUCAAAGAUCGGCACUACUUGGAUAAGGAAUGGGGCGAUUACUUUUCUGGAGGAGGAAGGAAAGUGAUUUUGGAGGUAUAUUUGGCCAGAUUUUACUCUUUCUGCUUCCAUGGUUUAUAAGUUUUUCAUUUAAUUGAAUCAAUAAUCAUAAUGGUGAGCAUAUAUGCAUGCUACAAUGUUGCUGUUGGAUUAUUUUGAAAGGAUAAUUAUUGUGGCCUUUAGUUUUGCAUGGAACGGACUGUGAUCACGGAGAUAGAACCUUCCCACGUUUGUUUUUUUGUCUUCUAUUCAUCAUUUGUGAUGGUCACUUAUUGAUGAAGUUCAUGUUCUGAUUAUGCUUCUUUUCAGGAGGCCUUUGCUCUAGUAUGUUUCUUAAUGUGUUAUGCUGUUUGCUAAACAGGCUGGCUGUGGAGCUGGAAAUACUAUCUUUCCCGUGAUAGCAUCAUAUCCAGAUGCUUUUGUUUAUGCAUGUGAUUUCUCACCACGAGCUAUUGAAUUGGUUAAGACACAUGAAGACUUCAAGGAAUCCCAUGUUAGUGCUUUUGUCUUCGAUUUGACAGCUGAUGAUCUUUGCAAAGAGAUUCUUCCAUCGUCUAUUGAUAUUGUUACAAUGGUAUCUGAAAUUCUGAAUGGCAAUUUAAUUUUUUAAAGUUUAUGUGGAGUGAUUAUGGGAUUGCAUUUGCAUUUUUUGUUGUUGGAAGCUAUCAUGUUCUUGCCUUAUUUCAGAUAACUUUUGUGCUCUUAUUAUUGAGAAAUAGUCUUGUCUCUUGCUUAAGUAGCUGACAUUGUAAGCAGAUAUUUAUGUUGUCUGCAGUGUCCCCAGAAAAGAUGCCUCUAGUUUUGCAAAAUGUUAGAAAAGUUAUCAAGCCAAAUGGAUAUGUGUUGUUCCGAGACUAUGCUACUGGAGACCUUGCUCAGGAAAGAUUCUCUAACAAGGAUCAAAAGAUUAGUGAUAACUUUUAUGUUAGAGCGUGCUUACUAUUUUUCAAAUGAGUUCUUGACAAAUUUAUUCAAAGAAAAUGGUUUUGAUGUUCACAAACUUGAUGUAUACUGCAAACAAGUCGAAAACCGCUCAAGGGAGUUGGUAAUGAAUCGGUAAUAUAUUAUAUUACAAGUUCCCUUUGCUUAUUUUUAUAUGGCAAAAUAGUUUUAUAUAAGUCGUGUUUUUGCUUCCGGUAACCUAUCAUAUAAUAUGCUUUCUUCUUGAACUUCUGUGGGUUAGAUUUUAGCACUAUGAGAUUUCAUUAGUUUGCCUUCACCCAUUGUCUCACACAAAGGGGGAGGAGGGAUAUCUUCUUCUGACUCUAAUAAUUCCGUUUUAUACUCCUAUAUUUGUUGCUUUCAGGCGGUGGGUCCAAGCUGUAUUCAGCUUAUCAGAUAGUUCCAACUCUUCUUCCAGUAAAGAAAAUGAGACUAAUCAUCCUGAUAGAGAUAAUGUUCAUAAGAAAAUCAAGCAAAAUAAUUUGAUUGGUGGUUCAAAUGACUCUGCAAUUGAUUUGUCUGAGGGUGUGGCAAUGGACAUGUUUGGAGUCUUACCUUCCAGUGAGUAUGAGGUAAGGCUCUCUCACCUUUGUUUGGUUGUUACUGGUUCUCUUAAGUUCUAACAAAUUUUCUGGGUGUUUGAACGUAUCCUGUUCAAGCUUGCUUCUUUCAGAUGUUCUACAAAAUUUGAAUAUCUGCUGGCAGUUGUGAUGGCCUUUUUUCUUUUCCCUCUCUAGAAAUCUCUUUUUAACAUUGAUUUUCUUAUGUGCACAAAUGUUUUCCCUUUUCAUCAUUUGAGUUUUUUGUGUUAGGUUAUUGAGAUCAACCUUAGAGGCUGGACUUUCAAGAUUAGUUUACUUUCAAAAGAGUACCAACACACCUGCAAAUCAACAGGAUUGAUGCUGUGGGAAUCGGCUCGGUUGAUGGCUUCUGUCCUUGCCGAAAACCCUAAUAUUGUUGGAGGGAAAAGGGUCUUGGAGUUGGGGUGUGGCAGUGGGGGAAUCUGCUCUAUGAUUGCUGCUAGAUAUGCUGAUCUAGUAGUUGCUACUGAUGGAGAUAGCUUUGCACUUGACCUACUGGCCAAAAAUGUUGCAUCUAAUGUUGAGUCAUCAUUGCUGACUAAACUAACCACAAAAAAACUGGAGUGGGGAAACGAGGACCACAUGGAAAGCAUAAAGGAAUUGAGUAAUAGAGGGUUUGAUAUCAUCAUGGGCACAGAUGUGACAUAUAUUCCUGAAGCUAUAUUGCCAUUGUUUGGAACUGCAAAAGAACUGAUUGCUUCCAAUGCAAGCAAUGAAAAUGAUAAUGUUCCUGCACUUAUUCUUUGCCACAUAUUUCGCCGUGUAGAUGAACCAACCUUACUUUCUGCUGCAGCACAAUUUGGGUUCAGAUUAGUAGACAAGUGGCCUUCUGAAACUUCAACCAAUUUUUCUCAAAGCAUUAUUGGCAAUUGGUUUAUGGACAAUAGUUUAAAGGAUGAUCUUCCUAGUACAGCAUUAAACAUCUUACUAUUUUGCAAAGAAUGAAGUUCAGUUCAGUAUCUAGCUUCAAUGCAAGUUGGUUUCUUGAUUCUUCUCUUCAUUAUACCAAGUGAGAAGUAGAAUGCAAAUUCCUACUUGAUUCAUUUAAGUGCUCAACAAUCCUUCUGGGCUCAUUUGUAGAAGUUAUGCUAUAAAUUUUGAUGGAGGGUCGUAGAAGAGAGUUCUGUGUACUUUUAUUUUAUUGUUUUUUUAAAUUUUCAUUGUUUUGCUCCCCCCUUGGGAUGCCAUAUAUAUGGACCUAGGUUGUUUUGCCCCCUGCAUCAUUUGCUUGGAAAUGCAAAGGCCUACUUUUUGUUUAGUAAUUAUGAUUGUCAAUUUCGGUUU